rnacentral:lncRNA from 1 species
GCUUAAACCUUUCCUCUAUGUUGCUCUCUCACACUAUAUUCUUUUUGGUUUAGUAAUUCACCCCUAAAUCCUACAAAGCCCUGCCCUAUUUUAAGUAUUGUAACCCCCGAUCACCGAUACCCUAUCCGACUGACGUAGGGCCCCGUAACGUAUGUCAAGGCUCUGCCUAAAUUCGUUGGGGUUCUGUCUCGUGACGUAGGGAUAACAUGAAAUUGGGUUACCAUACUUAAUGUGAGUGCACUAUAUAUUUUAUUAAAUAACCCAGGAGUGAUACUCGAAAUAUAACAACUCUCCAAAAACACCUCUGAUACCCUACACUUCCUAAAAUACACCCCGUAUGUGAAAACCGAGCCCGGAAUACAAUAUAGCAUUUAAAAUAAAUUAAAAACAAGAAAAUAUAAGUUUACGCGGGCCGCGUAAAGAUCCUCGCUUAGUUAACGCGGGCCGCGAGAGGUUAGAAAGGUGGCGCAGCCCUGGGCCGCCACGUGGCACAACACCCGUCAAGCCUAUACCUCAACUCAGCAUAGCUAUACGUUGACUUUGGGUCAACGCGGGCCGCGUAAGACCUGUUCUUAUUUGACGCGGGCCGCGAGAGAGUUCAGUAUCAGCCCUAUAAAUUGGAUCGUCGAGCCUUCAGUCCGAUCGUUCAUUUCUUUCUUUCUCUCUCUUAAUUUCUGAGUAGUAGAAGUAAUACCCGGGUAUAAUGCCCCCCUAAUUAGCGAAGCUCUGCCUCGUUACUAUAACCAGGGAAUCACAAAGGAAAGCCCUAUAAUAGCAAUGUAACUUAGUGUGAAGCCAAUAAAAGCCAGCUGGAGAGCACUGAAGGCUUGGGAAAGUGGCAAUAAAGUUACCUAAAAUAAAAUAGAUGUUUUUAUUAAACAAAAUAGGAUUUAUUCCUAUGAAAAUGUGUGUACUACAAACUUGGGUUUUACCCAUGUGUUUAAUAUUAUGAAAAUAUGGUGGUUUUACUCUGAUAAAAAUAUUUCCUAACUACGGUCCUGAUGAAAAAUUCCGCUGCCAAAUUAGACAAUACACGAUACCACCGAAACUGGCUCACGGCCGCCCGUUCCUGAGGGGUCGGGGGUUGUGACAAAAGGUGGUAUCAGAGCUAUGCCACUGGUUCAAGCCAAAGAAGUAGUAUGA